GAGGAAACUCCGAAACUAUGCCUUUACCGCUCGCAUGGCUGCACCACGGGUGCAAACGGUUACGACUUAGGAAAGCCUCUCUUUCCACUGGCACGGUCACCCCGGCCAAUCCGAAGAGAGCAACGGUCAGCGCGGCGGUCCCCGCACCCCCUCUACCAACCUCUUAACAGCAAACACUCAAUACACCUAACAAAAACUGCCACGCAGUCAUUCCAACAC
rnacentral:lncRNA from 1 species